AUUGAACGCUGGCGGCAGGCCUAACACAUGCAAGUCGAGCGGUAGCAGACCUUCGGGUGCUGACGAGCGGCGGACGGGUGAGGAACACGUAGGAAUUUGCCUAGUAGUGGGGGAUAGUCCAGAGAAAUUUGGAGUAAUACCGCAUACGCCCUAAGGGGGGAAAGUGGGGGACCGCAAGGCCUCACGCUAUUAGAGAAGCCUGCGUCGGAUUAGCUAGUUGGUAGGGUAAAGGCCUACCAAGGCGACGAUCCGUAGCUGGUCUGAGAGGAUGAUCAGCCACACUGGGACUGAGACACGGCCCAGACUCCUACGGGAGGCAGCAGUGGGGAAUAUUGGACAAUGGGCGAAAGCCUGAUCCAGCCAUGCCGCGUGUGUGAAGAAGGCCUUCGGGUUGUAAAGCACUUUAAGUGGGGAGGAAAAGCGGUUUGUGAAUAGCAAAUUGCCGUGACGUUACCCACAGAAUAAGCACCGGCAAACUCCGUGCCAGCCGCCGCGGUAAGAC
rnacentral:rRNA from 1 species